rnacentral:rRNA from 1 species
AUUGAACGCUGGCGGCAUGCCUUACACAUGCAAGUCGAACGGCAGCGCGGACUUCGGUCUGGCGGCGAGUGGCGAACGGGUGAGUAAUAUAUCGGAACGUGCCCUGGAGUGGGGGAUGACCAGUCGAAAGACUGGCUAAUACCGCAUACGAUCUACGGAUGAAAGUGGGGGAUCGCAAGACCUCAUGCCCGUGGAGCGGCCGAUAUCUGAUUAGCUAGUUGGUGGGGUAAGAGCCCACCAAGGCAACGAUCAGUAGCUGGUCUGAGAGGACGACCAGCCACACUGGGACUGAGACACGGCCCAGACUCCUACGGGAGGCAGCAGUGGGGAAUUUUGGACAAUGGGGGCAACCCUGAUCCAGCAAUGCCGCGUGUGUGAAGAAGGCCUUCGGGUUGUAAAGCACUUUUGUCCGGAACGAAACGGUGAAGGUUAAUACCCUUUGCUACUGACGGUACUGGAAGAAUAAGCACCGGCUAACUACGUGCCAGCCGCCGCCGUAA